ensembl:snRNA U2 U2 spliceosomal RNA
AUCACUUCUCGGCCUUUUGGCUAAGAUCAAGUGUAGUAUCUGUUCCUAUCAAUUUAAUAAUGACACCCUGACUUAUGCUGUGAGUGCUAUAAUGAGGUUAAUUAGUAAUAUCGUAUGGAUGGCAACACACAAACUGCAUGAUAUAUAAUAAUUUACUGUCACUGAAAUUAAGAUAAAUAACUUUAU